GUCUACGUAGCUCAGUUGGAUAGAGCAUACGCCUUCUAAGCGUACGGUCAGGGGUUCGAAUCCCUUCGUGGACGCCA
rnacentral:tRNA from 8 species